AGCAACUCCCACAAGGCCUCCCUCUGUUUUUCUUGCAGGAAGUACUCAAGACCAAUCAUUGAAGGGUGUCCUGUUUUCUGGUAAGAAUGACAAAUGGAAGCACUACACUCAAGAUCACUUUUGUUUUUUUCAGAGGAAGACUCUCCCCAUGAAAGGAUGGGAAGGACCAGCCAGGAUGACGGCAGAGUACAGGUUGUCUGCAUAUGUUCCACUACAGUCCGGUUUCAUACAGGAUGAGAGCAAACACAGAGUACUUGCAAUGACAUCAGGUACUGUUUGCAUUCCAGCACCCACACAAGAGUAACAUCUCCCCAAUUAACACGGCGGUGUUUCUGCGUGUUGCUUAACUUCGGUGAACUUGGUGUCAAGCCAACCGGAGGCAUCUAUCAAAUAACAGCCAGGGGCACUGGUUUUUUUCAACUGUUUUCAAAUUCUCUGCAGCAAUAAUUCAAAUGGAAUUUUUAAUAAACAAUCUUGUGAUAGAUGAAGGGAAUGGAAAGAGGGGGGAGGAAGGGAAGGGAGAAGGGUGACUAUUGUCAGAGGAGCCCAAAGAGAACCUGAGACUCACCACACCUAUAGCUGUCACAUGUGCUGGGAUUUGGCUUUUUAAGGGAUAUGGAAAUAUGGUUUUGGCUCAAACUACAAGUUCAAUAUUUAAAAAUCAACUUUAUGUUGAUUCUUCUACAGCUCCAAGCACAUCAGGUUUGGGUGACCUAAGCUUGUAGGGUCUUAUGGGAUCACCUUCUGAAAAGAACA